rnacentral:misc_RNA from 1 species
GACAGAGGGUGCAAACGUUGCUCGGAAUUACUGGGCGUAAAGCGCGUGUAGGCGGCUUCGCACGUCCGAUGUGAAAGCCCAGGGCUCAACCCUGGAAGUGCAUUGGAUACGACGGAGCUUGAGUACUGGAGAGGAGAGCGGAAUUCCCGGUGUAGAGGUGAAAUUCGUAGAUAUCGGGAGGAACACCAGUGGCGAAGGCGGCUCUCUGGACAGUGACUGACGCUGAGACGCGAAAGCGUGGGGAGCAAACAGG